UACGGGAGGCAGCAGUGGGGAAUAUUGCGCAAUGGACGAAAGUCUGACGCAGCAACGCCGCGUGAGUGAUGAAGGUCUUCGGAUCGUAAAGCUCUGUCGGCAGGAAACGAUGUUUUUGAGAGCUAAUAUCUCUCAGAAUUGACGGUACCUGCAAAGGAAGCACCGGCUAACUCUGUGCCAGCAGCCGCGGUAAAUACAGAGGGUGCAAGCGUUGUUCGGAAUCAUUGGGCGUAAAGGGCGCGUAGGCGGUUGAUUAAGUUGAAUGUGAAAGCCCGGGGCUCAACCUCGGAAGUGCAUUCAAAACUAGUCAACUAGAGUUCCGCAGAGGAUGGUAGAAUUCCCAGUGUAGAGGUGAAAUUCGUAGAUAUUGGGAGGAAUACCAGUGGCGAAGGGCGACCAUCUGGGACGGGAUACUGACGCUGAGGGCGCGAAAGCUGGGUAGCAAACAAGGAUUAAGGAAUAAC
rnacentral:rRNA from 1 species